GGGGGUGUUCUGGUUUCGCCUGUAUGGCGAAUCCUUUAAGAGCGGUCCGAGGAUAUCCUUUCACUCGUAAAACACUGGAUACUAAAAUUAUCUGCAAACAACGAUAAUAGUUACGCUUUAGCAGCCGCGUAGGUUGCUAACGCUUGGGCGUCUUUUGUCUGUGAAGGCGUGCAAGUGUCAUAAUUAGCAGGCUUACCAUUUUCUAAUGGUUGUAGGAAAAUGGAACACUAACAAUCUAGUUAUAUAUGACCCUGUUUGUUGGGGCUUAUGUAACGAAAUUAAAAAACAAACUAAGAUCGUAGUCGCUUAAAGGAUGAGUCAUAUAGUACGUGGGUUCGAUUCCCACCACCUCCACCA
rnacentral:tmRNA from 1 species